rfam:Echinococcus granulosus EG_S00024, whole genome shotgun sequence.
AACUGUGUGCGGUGGAUCACUCGGCUCGUGCGUCGAUGAAGAGUGCAGCCAACUGUGUGAGUUAAUGUGAAUCGCAGACUGCUUUGAACGUCGACAUCUUGAACGCAAAUUGCGACCACAGGCUUGCCUGUGGUCACGUCUGUCCGAGCGUCG